AAUUUGUUGAAAACUACAAACAUAUCCAAGAAUCCCAGUGAAUGCCAAGCAGCAUAAACACAAAGAAAACCACAUCAAGUCACUGCAGAAUCAAAUUUCUCAGAGCAGGUGAUACAGAGGAAAUCUUAAAGUUAAGACUAAUCACUGGUUUCUCAUCAAAAACAAUGCAAACCAGAAGAUGGUGGAACAAUGUCUUUAAAGCAUUGGAAGAAAGACACUGUCAACCCAGAAUUUUAUAUCCAGUGAAAAUGUCCCUCAAAGAUGAAGGCAAAAUAAAGACAUUUCAGUUUUCUGGCAUCAGAAGUGGGAUCCUCUGAGGCCAGUGAGCAACCACAUGCUGGUACCCACAGGGCCCAUUGAGCUCACUGCUUUUUUGCCAACCUUGCAACCCGAGUGCUGCUCUCUUUGCGUGUUGAGCUCUCUGACUUCUAUCGUGCAUACCUGUAUCCUGUUUGUUGAAGCUGCUUGAAAAAGAAAGGAAAAAGAAGACAAAACCGAAGUGGAUAUAGAAAGAUGCAAAAGGUUUGUGGAAGAGAAAUUUUAUGUUGAAUAGAUUUAUUUACAAGGAUUUUUAAAAUGAGCUCAGUAAUAUACUGAUAAAAAACUAGAGUUUAAUUUUCUCUCUGUUAAAAUCACAAAAUUUCUAAGAUUAUUGGUCUGUUCUUAAUAUAAUAUUAUAAAAUGUUUUUCUUUACCUUUAAUGUCAUUGGCCUAGGAAACAAGGAUUCUGUGACAUGGGAAAUAUUUCCUGUGUUCCAUAUUGUCUUUAUCAGGCCUUUGAUUAAUUAGGAAAACUGAGUCUUUUCAGUUUUAAGAGCUAAGGUUUUUUACAGCUAUAUAACUUACUAUAUUUGCCUUUGAACUCU